rnacentral:rRNA from 1 species
CCUACGGGAGGCAGCAGUGGGGAAUAUUGGACAAUGGGCGAAAGCCUGAUCCAGCCAUGCCGCGUGUGUGAAGAAGGUCUUCGGAUUGUAAAGCACUUUAAGUUGGGAGGAAGGGUAGUUGCCUAAUACGUAACUGUUUUGACGUUACCGACAGAAUAAGCACCGGCUAACUCUGUGCCAGCAGCCGCGGUAAUACAGAGGGUGCAAGCGUUAAUCGGAAUUACUGGGCGUAAAGCGCGCGUAGGUGGUUUGUUAAGUUGGAUGUGAAAUCCCCGGGCUCAACCUGGGAACUGCAUUCAAAACUGACUGACUAGAGUAUGGUAGAGGGUGGUGGAAUUUCCUGUGUAGCGGUGAAAUGCGUAGAUAUAGGAAGGAACACCAGUGGCGAAGGCGACCACCUGGACUGAUACUGACACUGAGGUGCGAAAGCGUGGGGAGACAAACGAGGUAUUAGACUACCGUAGGUACGUCCGACGACCGUAAACGAUGUACAACGUACGUCCGGUUAGGAACGUCCGUUAGGUACGUUACGUUUUAGGUUCGGUCGCGACGUACGUAACCGUACGUAAGUUAAGUUACGGUACCCGUCCGGUACGGGGUACGGGUACCGGGCCCGGACCGUAAACGGUUAAAACCGUUAACGAAACGGUAAGUUAGGACGGUCGUAGAGACGUCGACCGACGGACGACCGACGGAGGGAGGAGG